rnacentral:misc_RNA from 1 species
GCACCUACCGAUUGAAUGGUCCGGUGAAGCCUCGGGAUUGUGGCGAGUUCCCUUUAUUGGGAGUUUGUCGCGAGAACUUGACUAAACCUUAUCAUUUAGAGGAAGGUGAAGUCGUAACAAGGUUUCCGUAGGUGAACCUGCAGAAGGAUCAAGAUCGGAAGAGCGAGGGGUUGGGACAGGGUGUAGAUCUCGGUGGUAGCCGAAUAAUGAAAAGAAAAAUAAAGACAACACGAGAGAUGUUAACGUACACGGUACACAAACUAACCUCGAGACCA